AGGACGAACGCUGGCGGCGUGCUUAACACAUGCAAGUCGAGCGAGGCUCUCUCCUUCGGGAGGGAUGCCCUAGCGGCGAACGGGUGAGUAACACGUGGGCAACCUGCCCCUAGCACUGGGAUAACUCCGGGAAACCGGGGCUAAUACCGGAUACGACCUCUGAGGGCAUCCUCCGGAGGUGGAAAGCAUUGUGGCUAGGGAUGGGCCCGCGGCCUAUCAGCUUGUUGGUGAGGUAACGGCCCACCAAGGCGACGACGGGUAGCCGGCCUGAGAGGGCGACCGGCCACACUGGGACUGAGACACGGCCCAGACUCCUACGGGAGGCAGCAGUGGGGAAUAUUGCACAAUGGGCGAAAGCCUGAUGCAGCGACGCCGCGUGAGGGAUGACUGCCUUCGGGUUGUAAACCUCUUCAGCAGGGACGAAGCGAAAGUGACGGUACCUGCAGAAGAAGCACCGGCCAACUACGUGCCAGCAGCCGCGGU
rnacentral:rRNA from 1 species